CGCGAUUCAAAAUAAAACUGUGACGUCACGGUUAGCUGCCGGUCACUCUUAACGUAUUCAUUUUAUAACCAUCUUCAGUGAAAAUCCAGAGGACACGAUGACAGACGGCGGAGCAAAACCAAAAGUCGGAAGGCGCAAGGCGGAAACACCAAGUGUUAAAAUGCGUGAUUUUAAGAACUGGAUCGCUAAAGUCGCAGACCCUUUCUGGAAGAAGACUUUUGAAGAACUUCAAUCAUUGAGUCCAGACUAUCCCCAUGAUGUUUCACAAAUGCCCCAUAAUGUAAAGAAGAACAGAUAUAAUAAGAUCUAUGCAUUCGACAGAACUCGAGUGAAGACUCCCAUGAAUGAACGUGAUGAUACCAAGAACUAUAUAAACGCCAACUACAUCGACGGGUUCAAUCACAAACAUGAAUAUAUCGCUACCCAAGGACCGUUGAAGAAUACGUUGAACGAUUUCUGGAGGAUGGUUUGGGAACAUGAUUCCAAAGUCAUUGUGAUGCUCUCUGGUAUUCAAGAGAAACAGAAGCAAAAGGUGUUCCGAUACUGGCCACGAUAUGUAGGAGAUACAAUGGAAUAUGGCAAAAUAGCUGUUAAAAUGACAUAUGCAGGUCAAGUGAACAAAUAUAUUACCCGGAUAUUCACUAUGAAAAAGGGACAAGAAGAGCGACAAGUUCAUGUUUACUUCAUGCCAGGCUGGGAGGAGUUUGAUGCCAACAUGUCAACGGAAACCCUCAUAGACGUUAUUAAGAAAAUCCGCAUACAGAUCAACACGUCUCCUCAAGCUCCGGUCAUUGUGCACUGCAGUUCUGGACUUGGAAGAACGGGCACGUUCAUCGCACUGGACUACCUACAGCAGUGGGUUAAAACCCAUGGUUUGGAUGACGAAGUCAGUGUGUCUGGCUUUGUGCUACAGAUGAGACAUGACAGGGGUGGCAUGGUACAGACAUGGUUGCAAUACAGACUUGUACACUGGACCUUGAACAAAAUGAUUCAGAAGAAGAUCGCUGGAGAGCCCGCAACCGCUGACCAUGUAUACAGGGAUACAUCUAUCGCUUCAGGACCCUAAGAAGGUAUUUACGAGAAUAAGCAAGAAGUGGUUUUCCCACAACAUGGAGUUAAGAACCUGAUCAAGAAGAUAUAAAAAGAAAAUCAUACUAGAUCCAUAUCAGUCUUUAAACGGGCACAGCGUGUGUGUAUGUGCGAGUGUGCUUUUGUGUGCAUGUGCGUGCGUAUGUGCACGAGCGCGUUUCUGUUUGAGUGCAUUGUUCCAGUAUUUUUCUGUUUCCCUAUCUGUUUGUUUUAUUUUAUUUUUUUAUUUCGGAACUCCUAAUAUCUAUGUACAACAACUGUUUGUAAAAUAUUAAUGGAAGCAUAUACAAGUUCAUAUUCGUGGGUGAGUUCAGGGGAUUUCGCCCAAACUUUCUUUGAUAACCUUGUUUUAAAAACAAAUUUCAUAUUUCAUCAGUUACAAAUCAUUCCCUUUAUGUUAUGUGUAUGUUAAAUGGCCCACAAAACGUAUUUUGAACCACCCUUUUCUUAAAUUUGCUGGAUCUGCAAGUGUUAUUAUUGUGAAUUCUUUUUGCCAUCAUAUCAGAAAUUAAUCACUUUGUACUCAAAUGAAGUUUAGUGAGAUACGCUAAAUUGGGAUUUUUAUGUAUACAAUUAUAGUGGGGAAAACCUGCGAUUUGUAUAUUAAAUGUGAAAAAGGAAAUCUUGUUAACACUUUAAUAUUAUGUAAAUGAAUAUUAUUAUUAGUAAUAAACUUCUACACUUAAA